UACGAAGGGGGCUAGAGUUGUUCGGAAUCACUGGGCGUAAAGCGCACGUAGGCGGAUUUGUUAGUCAGGGGUGAAAUCCCGGAGCUCAACUCCGGAACUGCCUUUGAUACUGCAAGUCUCGAGUCCGAUAGAGGUGGGUGGAAUUCCUAGUGUAGAGGUGAAAUUCGUAGAUAUUAGGAAGAACACCGGUGGCGAAGGCGGCCCACUGGAUCGGUACUGACGCUGAGGUGCGAAAGCGUGGGGAGCAAACAGG
rnacentral:rRNA from 1 species